rfam:Myotis davidii contig151057, whole genome shotgun sequence.
CCCUCUCGCUCCCUCCCUCCCUCCCUCUCCCUUAUUUUUUUUAAAAAAAAGACCCAUUAUUAUUUGCCUCAUCACUAAAUCCUACAGAGUUCAGGGCGGAAAGCGGUGCACAC